rfam:Hordeum vulgare subsp. vulgare, WGS project CAJW01000000 data, contig: morex_contig_275383
CAUCUACUCCCUCCGUCCCAAAAUAAGUGUCGUUGAUCUAGUGCAAAAUUUGCACUAAUUUAGUACUAAAUGUACGACACUUAUUUUGGGACGGAGGGAGUACAAU